rnacentral:rRNA from 1 species
UACGUAGGUGGCGAGCGUUGUCCGGAUUUACCGGGCGUAAAGGGAGCGUAGGCGGAUUUUUAAGUGAGAUGUGAAAUACUCGGGCUCAACUUGAGUGCUGCAUUUCAAACUGGAAGUCUAGAGUGCAGGAGAGGAGAAUGGAAUUCCUAGUGUAGCGGUGAAAUGCGUAGAGAUUAGGAAGAACACCAGUGGCGAAGGCGAUUCUCUGGACUGUAACUGACGCUGAGGCUCGAAAGCGUGGGGAGCAAACAGG